GGCGGAGAGUUGCCUUAGCUUUGACUUCUAAUCUGUAGCUAGGGAGGGUAGCGACCUUCCUUCCGCUG